UACGAAGGGGGCUAGCGUUGUUCGGAAUCACUGGGCGUAAAGGGCGCGUAGGCGGCCGAUCAAGUCGGGGGGUGAAAGCCUGUGGCUCAACCACAGAAUUGCCUUCGAUACUGUUUGGCUUGAGACCGGAAGAGGUUAGUGGAACUGCGAGUGUAGAGGUGAAAUUCGUAGAUAUUCGCAAGAACACCAGUGGCGAAGGCGGCUGACUGGUCCGGUUCUGACGCUGAGGCGCGAAAAGCGUGGGGGAGCAAACAGG
rnacentral:rRNA from 1 species